UCUGUGUUCAAGGCAACGACCUACGCAUGAAGUAAACAGAAAAUAAUUAUACUACGUUUUUAACAUUCACAAUGCAAUGUGUCGUUUCUCGUGAGGUAAUUACAAAAAAGACUGAUUAGUCUGAAUAGUCAAUUACUUACAUUCUGAGUUUCUGCAGCAAUUUGAGCAAUACGACAGCUCACAGCCUUUAGUAGAAAAUUCUUGCUAAGAAUAUUAUAAUUUGCAGUUUUAUGAUGCUUCAAAAGAAUUACCUCAAUACAAUGUCCAUGACAAUGUCAUUCAGCCACAUUCCAUCGUCUAAUGUCGCAAGUGACUCUUUUGUCAAUAAAGGCACACCAAAAGACCUCAAAGGAAUUUUUAUUGCAUUUUUAAUUUAAUCUUUAUCCGUCUCUAUAGAUCUUUCUAGGUCUGUUCAUGAUGAACUAGGACGUCAUAAAAGGCGGAAAUCUUUGAUCUACCCAGUGCAUUUUUACACUAAAUUGAAAAACAGCACAGGGAGGUGAAGCAGAGGAAAACAAAGCAGAAGAAAGAGAAAGUGAAGAAAAGAAAAAUAGAAGGUAAGAAGACAUACCUGAGGAACGAAACUAUACAGUUCUGGGAAGGCUGUCAGUGCCAGGCACCAAAAGAAAGUACACGGUCACUCAAGAUGAACUGAAGAGAAGAGUCAUGGCAGAAAACAUGUCAAACAACAUGAUAAGAAGCCUGAUUAGGGUUCGUAAAGAGGAUCUCCCUCAGGAGCUCAGAGAACAACGGCCAAUAAAAGCCAAGACAAAAAUAAGCAUUGCAAAGAAUACACUCU